AUACGGAGGGUGCAAGCGUUGUUCGGAAUUAUUGGGCGUAAAGCGCGCGCAGGCGGCUUGCCAAGUCUGAUGUGAAAGCCCGGGGCUCAACCUCGGAACUGCAUUGGAAACUGGUAGGCUUGAGUAUGAGAGGGGUUUGUGGAAUUCCUGGUGUAGGGGUGAAAUCCGUAGAGAUCAGGAGGAACACCGGUGGCGAAGGCGACAAACUGGAUCAUUACUGACGCUGAGGUGCGAAAGCGUGGGGAGCAAACAGGAUUAGAAACCCUAGUAGUCC
rnacentral:rRNA from 1 species